UCGUUCCCUCUCCCAAGGCAACCUUCAAACACCACAUCUCCUCUAGGUACAAUAGCGGCUCACACCAUCUGCACCCAUUUGUAGUUGAUACAUAACAAUGGCCUCCACGAACAGCUGGACCCUCGAGUUGGAGUCAAAGGUGUCCGCUCCACGCAUGUUGAGGGAGAUGGCGGCGUCGGCAGCGUCCGACACUACAAUUGUGGCUCAGCCAUUCCAUUCAACGUCAUGAAGAAGAAGGUUGAGUUCCUUGAUGUGGACAAAUGCGAGUGCAGAUACACCCUAGAGUGUGACGGUGUUGAGACGUCCACAUGGAGCAUCAAGAUGAAGCCAACGGCCAACGGUGGGAGUGUGGCGUAGGUGGAAUGCACGUCCAAGGGCGUGCAGGAUAAUGACAUGAUGCUCAAGGCCAAGGACUCUGCUGCCGAAAUGUUAAAGAAUGUUGAGGACUAUCUCAUCGCCAACCCUGACGCCUACAACACUAGUAGACAACAGACCUUUUGUCCAGCACCCUUGGGAGCAAUAGUCCCGGUUUAAAAGCAAACCGGGACCAAUGGGGGGCAUUGGUCCCGGUUCGUUCGGCGCGGGGUGACCCCACCCUUUGGUCCCGGUUCGUUUGGGGUCUUUGGUCGCGGUUUGUAAUACAAACCGGGACUAAAGGGGGCGUGUCAGACCGUGUCAAGCCUCUUAACCCUUUGGUCCCGGUUUGCAACCGGGACCAAGGGCCCAUCUGCCUACAUAUACCUUGCCCUGCCCAAGUAUGAGACACACUUAGCCAUUUUUCCACUUCUUAUCACAAGAGGGGUGUAUGUUGCUUUGCCCUCUUCAUAUGCACAAGAGGUGUUUGAUGAAAUGCCUAAGAGGUUUUGCCACUUGAGUUCACACAAAACAAGCCGCACUUAACUAUCU